GAUCCUGGCUCAGGAUGAACGCUAGCUACAGGCUUAACACAUGCAAGUCGAGGGGCAGCAUGACCUAGCAAUAGGUUGAUGGCGACCGGCGCACGGGUGAGUAACACGUAUCCAACCUACCGGUUAUUCCGGGAUAGCCUUUCGAAAGAAAGAUUAAUACCGGAUAGUAUAACGAGAAGGCAUCUUCUUGUUAUUAAAGAAUUUCGAUAACCGAUGGGGAUGCGUUCCAUUAGUUUGUUGGCGGGUAACGGCCACAAG
rnacentral:rRNA from 1 species